rnacentral:rRNA from 1 species
GAAUAUUGCCCAAUGGAGGAAACUCUGAGGCAGCAACGCCGCGUGAACGAUGACGGCCUUCGGGUUGUAAAGUUCUUUUCUCAGGGAAGAUGAUGACGGUACCUGAGGAAUAAGUCCCGGCUAACUACGUGCCAGCAGCCGCGGUAAAACGUAGGGGACAAGCGUUAUCCGGAUUUACUGGGCGUAAAGCGCCCGUAGGCGGCUUUGUAAGUUGGACGUGAAAGCUCCCGGCUUAACUGGGAGAGGCCGUUCAAAACUGUGGAGCUAGAGUGAGGCAGAGGAGCGCGGAAUUCCCGGUGUAGUGGUGGAAUGCGUAGAUAUCGGGAGGAACACCAGUGGCGAAAGCGGCGCUCUGGGCCGCGACUGACACUCACAGGACGAAAGCUAGGGGAGCGAAUGGG